GACGAACGCUGGCGGCGUGCUUAACACAUGCAAGUCGAACGAAGAGCGACGGCUGCUUGCUUAUAUCAAUCUUAGAGGCGAACGUGUGAGUAACGCGUAAUCCACCUGCCCUUCAGAGGGGGCCAACAGUCGGAAACGACUGCUAAUACCGCAUCCGAUCUAAUCUCGGCAUUGAGGAUGUAUGACAGGUGGCCUCUACCUGUCAGCUAUCACUGAAGUUGGGGAUUGCGUGUGAUACGCUGGUUGGGGGGGUAACGGGCCACUAAGGCGUGGAUCGGUAGCCGGUCUGAGAGGAUGAAAGGCCACAUUGGGACUGGGACACGGACCAGACUACUACGGGAGGCAGCAGUGGGGAAUCGGCCGCAAUGGACGAAAAUCUGACGGAACAACGCCGCGUGAGUGAUGACGACCUUCGGGUUGUAAAGCUCUGUUAAUCGGGACGAAAGGCCUUCUUGCGAAUAGUGAGAAGGAUUGACGGUACCGGAAUAGAAAGCCACGGCUAACUACGUG
rnacentral:rRNA from 1 species